GGUAGGAUGGCCGAAGGUAAGGCGGUGGAUUGUAAGUCCAAAAUAAAGGUUUAAACCUUUUCCUAUCA